CCUACGGGAUGCAGCAGUGAGGCAUAUUGGACAAUGGACGCAAGUCUGAACCAGCCAUGCCGCGUGCAGGAAGACGGCUCUAUGAGUUGAAAACUGAUUUUGUAAGAGGGAAAAUGGCGAUACGGGAAACGGGUGGAAAGUAACGUACGAAUAAGGAACGGCUAAAUCCGGUCCAGCAGCCGAGGUAAUACGGAGUAUUCAAGGGUUAUCCGGAUUUAUUGGGUGUAAAGGGUGCGUAGGGGGUUUGAUAAGUUAGAGGUGCAAUCCAGGGGCUCAACUCCUGCACUGCCUCUGAUACUGUCGGGCUUGAGUUUAGUGGCGGUAGGCGGAAUGUAUGGUGUAGCGGU
rnacentral:rRNA from 1 species